UCACCCUACUUCUUGCUGGCUGUGGCACAAAUCUCUAUUUUAUCCUCUUCUGUUCUGGGUUGGUAAAAGCAAAAGAAUCCAUGCCUGACUCUACUGAUGCUCUAAAACUCUGAUUUGGCUGCCCAAAAAUAUUAACCUUCUUUGAUGGCCAUUUUCUCCCUACACCCAUGAAAAAACUCUGUGCACUUCUCUUGCCCCUUUCCUGCCUACCGCUAUAGAAUUCUUUCUCAAUCUCUUCUGCCUUGAUGGCUCCUAUAAUCAAU
rnacentral:lncRNA from 1 species